UACGUAGGUGGCAAGCGUUAUCCGGAAUUAUUGGGCGUAAAGAGCGCGCAGGUGGUUAAUUAAGUCUGAUGUGAAAGCCCGCGGCUUAACCGUGGAGGGUCAUUGGAAACUGGUUGACUUGAGUGCAGAAGAGGGAAGUGGAAUUCCAUGUGUAGCGGUGAAAUGCGUAGAGAUAUGGAGGAACACCAGUGGCGAAGGCGGCUUCCUGGUCUGCAACUGACACUGAGGCGCGAAAGCGUGGGGAGCAAACAGG
rnacentral:rRNA from 1 species